GUCCCUGUAGCGCAAUGGGUAGCGCGUUUGACUUCUAAUCCAGAAAUCGUGGGCUCGAAUCCCUCCAGGGAUG